rnacentral:rRNA from 1 species
CCUACGGGAGGCAGCAGUGAGGAAUAUUGGUCAAUGGCCGGGAGGCUGAACCAGCCAAGUCGCGUGAGGGAAGACGGCCCUACGGGUUGUAAACCUCUUUUGUCAGGGAGCAAGGUGCAGGUCGGGACCUGCUGUGAGAGUACAUGAAGAAAACGCAUCGGCUAACGCCGUGCCCGCAGCCGCGGUAAUACGGAGGAUGCGAGCGUUGUCCGGAUUUUUUGGGGUUAAAGGGUGCGCGGGCGGAGGUCCAAGUUAGAGGUAAAAUCGCGGGGCUCAAACCCGCACCGACGUUGAAACUGUGUCCCUUGAGUGCGCGAAGGGUAGGCGGAAUGCGUGGUGUAGCGGUGAAAUGCAUAGAUAGCACGCAGAACGCCGAUCGCGAAGGCAGCCGACCGGGGCGCAACUGACGCUCAUGCACGAAAGCGUGGGUAUCGAACAGGAUUAGAUACCCUUGUAGUC